AGCAGCCGCGGUAAUUCCAGCUCCAAUAGCGUAUAUUAAAGUUGUUGUGGUUAAAAAGCUCGUAGUUGAACCUUGGGCCUGGCUGGCCGGUCCGCCUCACCGCGUGUACUGGUCCGGCCGGGCCUUUCCCUCUGUGGAACCCCAUGCCCUUCACUGGGUGUGGCGGGGAAACAGGACUUUUACUGUGAAAAAUUAGAGUGCUCCAGGCAGGCCUAUGCUCGAAUACAUUAGCAUGGAAUAAUAGAAUAGGACGUGUGGUUCUAUUUUGUUGGUUUCUAGGACCGCCGUAAUGAUUAAUAGGGACAGUCGGGGGCAUCAGUAUUCAAUUGUCAGAGGUGAAAUUCUUGGAUUUAUUGAAGACUAACUACUGCGAAAGCAUUUGCCAAGGAUGUUUUCAUUAAUCAGGAACGAAAGUUAGGGGAUCGAAGACGAUCAGAUACCGUCGUAGUCUUAACCAUAAACUAUGC
rnacentral:sRNA from 1 species